UACGUAGGGGGCUAGCGUUGUCCGGAAUCAUUGGGCGUAAAGAGCGUGUAGGCGGCCCGGUAAGUCCGCUGUGAAAGUCGGGGGCUCAACCCUCGAAUGCCGGUGGAUACUGUCGGGCUAGAGUGCGGAAGAGGCGAGUGGAAUUCCUGGUGUAGCGGUGAAAUGCGUAGAUAUCCGGAGGAACACCAGUGGCGAAGGCGACACGCUGGGCCGUACCUGACACUGAUGCGCGACAGCAUGGGGAGCAAACAGG
rnacentral:rRNA from 1 species